CUCACAGGUCUCUCCCACUUUGUGGAAGAAGGUCUCCAUGCAGUAACCAGGAGCUGUACUGCCCUCAGGACAGAAGGCAUCAUUGGGGCACUGGAUAGGGUUCACAUCAGGGCUCUGGAGGAGAGGAGGAGAGGAGGAGAGGAUGAGAGGAGGAGAGAGGAGGAGAGAGAGAGGAGGAGAGGAGGAGAGAGGAGGAGAGAGAGGAGGUCACUGGAUAGGGUUCACAUCAGGGCUCUGGAGGAGAGGAGGAGAGGAGGAGAGGAUGAGAGGAGGAGAGAGGAGGAGAGAGAGGAGAGAGAGAGGAGGUCACUGGAUAGGGUUCACAUCAGGGCUCUGGAGGAGAGGAGGAGAGAGAGGAGAGAGGAGGAGAGAGAGGAGAGGAGGAGAGAGAGAGGAGGAGAGAGGAGGAGAGGAGAGAGAGGAGGAGAGAGGAGGAGAGGCGAGAGAGAGGAGAGAGGAGAGGAGGAGAGAGGAGGUCACUGGAUAGGGUUCACAUCAGGGCUCUGGAGGAGAGGAGGAGAGGAGGAGAGGAUGAGAGGAGGAGAGAGAGGAGAGAGAGAGGAGGAGAGGAGGAGAGAGGAGGAGAGAGGAGGUCACUGGAUAGGGUUCACAUCAGGGCUCUGGAGGAGAGGAGGAGAGGAGGAGAGGAUGAGAGGAGGAGAGAGGAGGAGAGAGAGGAGAGAGAGGAGAGAGAGGAGAGAGAGAGGAGGAGAGAGGAGGUCACUGGAUAGGGUUCACAUCAGGGCUCUGGAGGAGAGGAGGAGAGAGGAGGAGAGGAUGAGAGGAGGAGAGAGGAGGAGAGAGAGGAGGAGAGAGGAGGAGAGAGAGAGGAGAGGAGGAGGAGAGAGGAGGAGAGGAGGAGAGGAUGAGAGGAGGAGAGAGGAGGAGAGAGAGGAGGAGAGAGGAGGUCACUGGAUAGGGUUCACAUCAGGGCUCUGGAGGAGAGGAGGAGAGAGAGGAGAGGAGGAGAGAGAGAGGAGGAGAGAGGAGGAGAGAGGAGGAGAGAGAGGAGGUCACUGGAUAGGGUUCACAUCA
rnacentral:lncRNA from 1 species